rnacentral:tRNA from 1 species
GUGGUGGCUCAGCGGUAGAGCGCUCGCCUAGCACGCAUGAGGCACUGGGUUCGAUCCUCAGCACCACA